rnacentral:rRNA from 1 species
UAGGGAAUCUUCCACAAUGGACGCAAGUCUGAUGGAGCAACGCCGCGUGAGUGAAGAAGGUCUUCGGAUCGUAAAGCUCUGUUGUUGGUGAAGAAGGAUAGAGGCAGUAACUGGUCUUUAUUUGACGGUAAUCAACCAGAAAGUCACGGCUAACUACGUGCCAGCAGCCGCGGUAAUACGUAGGUGGCAAGCGUUGUCCGGAUUUAUUGGGCGUAAAGCGAGCGUAGGCGGAAUGAUAAGUCUGAUGUGAAA